rnacentral:rRNA from 1 species
UGAACCUGCGGAAGGAUCAUUGUCGUGACCCGUAACCAAAACAGACCGAGCACGCGUCAUCUAUCUUGCCGUCGACGGCAUCGUUCGUCGCUYGGCCAAUUCCUCGAACUCCUCUUCUCGGAGUGGAGAUCGGGGUAAAAGAACCCACGGCGCCAAUGGCGUCAAGGAACACUGUGCCAAGCUCGGGGGUGCGGCUGACUUGUUGGCUGCCCCUCGUGCUGCAAUGCUAUUUAAUCCACACGACUCUCGGCAACGGAUAUCUCGGCUCUCGCAUCGAUGAAGAACGUAGCGAAAUGCGAUACCUGGUGUGAAUUGCAGAAUCCCGCGAACCAUUGAGUCUUUGAACGCAAGUUGCGCCCGAGGCCUUUUGGCUGAGGGCACGCCUGCCUGGGCGUCACGCAAAACACGCUCCCACAGCCCUCAUGUGGUAAUGGGAUGCGGCAUCUGGCCCCCCGUCACGCAAGGGGCGGUGGGCCGAAGAUAUGGCUGCCGGCGUAUCGUGUCGGACACAGCGCGUGGUGGGGGACCUCGCUUUACUUACCGCAGUGCAUCCGACAUGUAGCUGACGUGAUGGCCACAAAGGACCCUUUAAAUGGUGCGUACAACGCUCCGACCGCGACCCCAGGUCAGGCGGGACUACCCGCUGAAUUUAAGCAUAUCAAUA